rnacentral:rRNA from 1 species
GAUGAACGCUGGCGGCGUGCCUAAUACAUGCAAGUCGAGCGAACAGACGAGGAGCUUGCUCCUCUGACGUUAGCGGCGGACGGGUGAGUAACACGUGGAUAACCUACCUAUAAGACUGGGAUAACUUCGGGAAACCGGAGCUAAUACCGGAUAAUAUAUUGAACCGCAUGGUUCAAUAGUGAAAGACGGUUUUGCUGUCACUUUUAGAUGGAUCCGCGCCGCAUUAGCUAGUUGGUAAGGUAACGGCUUACCAAGGCAACGAGGUGAAGCCGACCUGAGGGGAUGAUGGGCAACCGGGGAAAGGGGACGGGCGCCAACACUGGAAGGGAGACACGAUGAGGAAUCUUCCGGGAAGGGGCAAAGGCGAAACGGGCAAAACGGGGGGAAGUAAGAAGGUGCUGCGGAGCGUAAACCAUUUUUUUAGGGGAAGAAAAAAGGUGUAGUUAAUGUGAAGAGUUUGACGGGACCUGAGGAGAAAGGCCCGGCUAAAUACGUG